UAGGGAAUAUUGCGCAAUGGGGGCAACCCUGACGCAGCAACGCCACGUGUGGGAAGAAGCAUUUCGGUGUGUAAACCACUGUCGAGAGGGAAUAAAAGAGGGCCUCGGCCCUCCUGAAUGUACCUUUAAAGGAAGCACCGGCAAACUUCGUGCCAGCAGCCGCGGUAAUACGAGGGGUGCAAGCGUUGUUCGGAAUCACUGGGCGUAAAGGGAGCGUAGGUGGAACUGCAAGUGGACCGUGCAAUCCCGGGGCCCAACCCCGGUCACGCGGUCCAGACUGCAGCUCUUGAGUCGUUCAGAGGCAGACGGAAUUCCUGGUGUAGCGGUGGAAUGCGUAGAGAUCAGGAAGAACACCGAUGGCGAAGGCAGUCUGCUGGGGAUCGACUGACACUGAGGCUCG
rnacentral:rRNA from 1 species